UCAGCUCCAAGUGAUGAGGAAAAACAAAAACAAGUCUCGAUUGUUUCAAUAUUUCCAGAGGAAAAUCAAAGGAUAAAGUCAAUGCAGGUUGGGUCAAUUUUUGUGACGACACGAAUUGAAGUAGGUUCGGAUUUUGCUGGGAUGUCGUUCCAGUGCCCACCAUCCCCCACGAUGACAAGAGCAAAACAUGAGCAUCUUAAAUAAAGAAAACGCCAGCUCUGCGGGUACAGCGCGCAGCCGUCCUUCUCCGCAGGCCACACGGCGACCAGCUCCGAGCCGCGCACGCGGCGACCCCCGGACAGAGAGCCACUGACACGACGUGAGCGCGGUGCUCCCUUCCUUCCCAGCUCACCUCCAACACUGCGACGCGGACGAAACACUGAGGGAAGGCCUGAGGGGAGCCCAAAGGACGGAACUUCUCACACAAGGUGACCGUGGAGAGCAGGCUUGAACGUGGCCCCGGGGUGGGCCACCCCCGUCGUGCCAGGAUGGUUCAGUCGGUGAAACGGGUUAACGCGGCAACACUGGCUGCCAAGUCACACAUCCAAGACGAGGUUAUAAAAAAUGCUGCAGCUCCCGCCUAAGGUUCUCUCCCGCUCCAGCUCUUACUCUCUCCUUCGUGGCCCACUUGCUCUGCGGGAAGCAGGCUGCCAUGCUGUGAGGGGCCCUGUCGAGAGGCCCCCCUGCUGAGGGACGGAAGCUUGGGGCUCACAGCCAGGGAGGGUCUGAGGUUCCUGCCUGUAGCCAUGUGGGUGAUCUUGGAAGAUGCUCCCCUGUCACACCUUCAGAUGAGACUCUAACCCAGCCAACAGCUUGACUGCAGCCUGCUGCAGGACCUUGACUCACUGCCACCCAGCGAAGCCCAUCCCUAAUUCCUGACCCACAGAAACUGCAGCAUAAGAGGUGCUUGUAGUUUCAAGCUGCUAACUUUAGGGACAAUUUUCUAGGCAGCCAGGGUAACAAAUACCAUGUCUGCAGGUAUUUUGAGGGGUACAGGGAGGAGCCAGGUUACUAGGCCACCUGUGCUCGUCCAAGAGACGCCUGGUGGGUGACGGGGGCUUACCUGGCUGGGACCCUGGGCGGGGGUCACCUGUCCUCCAAGGUCCUUCUUGUCCAGCCGCUGGCACCUCGUCCCUACGACAUCUUGGUGCCCCGGGAGAUGCUAUCACAUUUGAGCUGCAGUGUCAUAUAUUCUGACUCUCAGUUCUGUUAUUUCCAACAGGUCAUCUGCCUGGUAAAGAACCACAUCCUAGAAAAAGCAGAGCUGAAAUGUGUAUAAUAGGCGAUAGCUUUAUUUAUUUUCAAAAUGUUUAUUUGCAAGCUACUAGGUCUUUGGAGACAACAAAGGCAAUUGGCUAAGGUCAUUCAGCUAAGGGAAAGAGAGAUUUGAAACAGAACCGGGUAUCUAGACUCUAAGGUCUGACUUGGAAAUGGUAAGAAUAAAUGAUUCAUGGCAAGAAUAAAUAAUGCAUUUAAAUUAAGUAUUAAUUGAAAUUAGUCAAGCUGAAAUGAUAGGUAGAAUUAAAACUGGUAAAAUUUAUUUUACAUUUUAAAAAAGUUAUCAUUUGGGUGAUUACUAAUUUAAAUUGCUGCCCAUCAGAUACAUGAA